rnacentral:rRNA from 1 species
AAACUCAAAUGAAUUGACGGGGCCGCACAAGCGGUGGAGCAUGUGGUUUAAUUCGACGCAACGCGAAGAACCUUACCAGGGCUUGACAUCCCCUGACCGCGUAUGAAAGUACGUUUUCACCCUCGGGUGACAGGGAGACAGGUGGUGCAUGGUUGUCGUCAGCUCGUGUCGUGAGAUGUUGGGUUAAGUCCCCGCAACGAGCGCAACCCCUACGUUUAGUUGCUAACGCGUGAAGGCGAGCACUCUAGACGAACUGCCGUUGACAAAACGGAGGAAGUGGGGAUGACGUCAAAUCAUCAUGCCCCUUAUGUUCUGGGCUACACACGUGCUACAAUGGCCGGUACAGACGGACGCAAAGCCGCGAGGUGGAGCAAAUCCUAAAAAGCCGGUCUCAGUUCGGAUUGUAGGCUGCAACUCGCCUACAUGAAGUCGGAAUCGCUAGUAAUCGCGGAUCAGCACGCCCGCGGUCGAAUACGUUCCGGCCUU